AGCUAGUUGGUGAGGUAACGGCUCACCAAGGCCACGAUGCAUAGCCGACCUGAGAGGGUGAUCGGCCACACUGGGACUGAGACACGGCCCAGACUCCUACGGGAGGCAGCAGUAGGGAAUCUUCGGCAAUGGACGAAAGUCUGACCGAGCAACGCCGCGUGAGUGAAGAAGGUUUUCGGAUCGUAAAACUCUGUUGUUAGAGAAGAACAAGGACGUUAGUAACUGAACGUCCCCUGACGGUAUCUAACCAGAAAGCCACGGCUAACUACGUGCCAGCAGCCGCGGUAAUACGUAGGUGGCAAGCGUUGUCCGGAUUUAUUGGGCGUAAAGCGAGCGCAGGCGGUUUCUUAAGU
rnacentral:rRNA from 1 species